rnacentral:rRNA from 1 species
AGGACGAACGCUGGCGGCGUGCCUAACACAUGCAAGUGGAGCGGACGAACCGGGCUUCGGCCCGGGGCAAAGCCGCGAACGGGUGAGUAACACGUGGGUAACCUGCCCCGAUGAUUGGGACAACCCGAGGAAACUCGGGCUAAUACCGAAUGUGCCCUCCGGCCAUAAGGCCGCUGGGGAAAGGAAGCUUCGGCCUCCGCAUCGGGAUGGGCCCGCGGCCCCAUUAGCUUGUUGGUGAGGUAACGGCUCACCAAGGCGACGAUGGGUAGCUGGUCUGAGAGGACGAUCAGCCACACUGGGACUGAGACACGGCCCAGACUCCUACGGGAGGCAGCAGUGGGGAAUAUUGGACAAUGGGCGCAAGCCUGAUCCAGCCAUGCCGCGUGGAUGAUGAAGGCCUUAGGGUUGUAAAGUCCUUUCGGCGGGGAAGAUAAUGACGGUACCCGCAGAAGAAGCCCCGGCUAACUUCGUGCCAGCAGCCGC